rnacentral:piRNA from 1 species
UGAGCUUUUGGGUUGUGAGGAGGUUC